UAGAGUUUGAUCCUGGCUCAGGAUGAACGCUGGCGGUAUGCUUAACACAUGCAAGUCGAACGGUCUUUUCGGAGAUAGUGGCGGACGGGUGAGUAACGCGUGAGAAUCUGUCAUUUGGUUUGGGACAACAUUGGGAAACCGAUGCUAAUACCGGAUGUGCCGAGAGGUGAAAGAGAAAUUGCCAGAUGGUGAGCUCGCGUCAGAUUAGCUAGUUGGUGGGGUAAUAGCCUACCAAGGCGACGAUCUGUAGCUGGUCUGAGAGGACGAUCAGCCACACUGGAACUGAGACACGGUCCAGACUCCUACGGGAGGCAGCAGUGGGGAAUUUUCCGCAAUGGGCGAAAGCCUGACGGAGCAAUACCGCGUGAGGGAGGAAGGCUCUUGGGUCGUAAACCUCUUUUCUCUAGGAAGAUAAUGACGGUACUAGAGGAAUAAGCAUCGGCUAACUCCGUGCCAGCAGCCGCGGUAAUACGGAGGAUGCAAGCGUUAUCCGGAAUGAUUGGGCGUAAAGCGUCCGCAGGUGGUUAUGUAAGUCUGCGGUUAAAGAGUGGGGCUUAACUCCAUAAAGGCCGUGGAAACUACAAGACUAGAGUAGGUUAGGGGCAGAGGGAAUUCCCAGUGUAGCGGUGAAAUGCGUAGAGAUUGGGAAGAACACCGGUGGCGAAAGCGCUCUGCUAGGACAAUACUGACACUGAGGGACGAAAGCUAGGGGAGCGAAUGGGAUUAGAUACCCCAGUAGUCCUAGCCGUAAACGAUGGAUACUAGGCGUUGAGAGUAUCGACCCUCUCAGUGCCGUAGCUAACGCGUUAAGUAUCCCGCCUGGGGAGUACGCACGCAAGUGUGAAACUCAAAGGAAUUGACGGGGGCCCGCACAAGCGGUGGAGUAUGUGGUUUAAUUCGAUGCAACGCGAAGAACCUUACCAGGGCUUGACAUGUCCAGGAGUCCGGCGAAAGUUGGAUGUGCCUUAGGGAACUGGAACACAGGUGGUGCAUGGCUGUCGUCAGCUCGUGUCGUGAGAUGUUGGGUUAAGUCCCGCAACGAGCGCAACCCUCGUACUUAGUUGCCAGCAUUAGGUUGGGCACUCUAGGGAGACUGCCGGUGACAAACCGGAGGAAGGUGGGGAUGACGUCAAGUCAGCAUGCCCCUUACGUCCUGGGCUACACACGUACUACAAUGCUACGAACAAAGGGCAGCUACACAGCGAUGUGAUGCAAAUCUCAGAAAUCGUGGCUCAGUUCAGAUUGCAGGCUGCAACUCGCCUGCAUGAAGUCGGAAUCGCUAGUAAUUGCAGGUCAGCAUACUGCAGUGAAUUCGUUCCCGGGCCUUGUACACACCGCCCGUCACACCAUGGAAGCUGGUCACGCCCGAAGUAGUUACCCUAACCAUGAAUUUGGGGGGGGACUCCUAAGGUAGGGCUGGUGACUGGGGUGAAGUCGUAACAAGGUAGCCGUACCGGAAGGUGUGGCUGGAUCACCUCCUUUAUAGGGAGACCGAAACCCUUAGGGACAGAAACGGGAGGAAGUAUUUAUACUUGUUCAAGGAAUAAGAAACUAAGAGGUCAUUCCCAAGGUCGGUCGAGGACAAGUAACUGACUUUCAAACUAAAACUGGUUCGGAACAAUCAAAGAAGAGAAUCUAAAUUCAGCACCUACAUCUAGAGAUUUGAGUAGAGAGAAGUAGACUGCUGGGUUUACCCAGUAAAAGAACCUUGAAAACUGCAUAGUGGCAAAAGAAGUAGCAAUUGAAAGUUCGAGAGAACAAGAGAUUGUGAAAGGCAGUUCGUAGUGUAGCAGCUACGGAUAAAAGCACCAAUAUUAGGAUUGAGGAGAAGAAUAUUGAGUGGUCAAGCGAAUAAAGGCUGACGGUGGAUACCUAGGCACACAGAGGCGAAGA
rnacentral:rRNA from 1 species